rnacentral:ribozyme from 15 species
UCCGCCCACCGGACACUUGGGGGCAACGUCCACAUCGAGCUUCACGUCGGCAGUGAAGAGGUCGGGGGCCAGCGAAUCAACGACACAACCUGCGGAGUGCGAGGAUUCCGAGUGAGCGGACAAGUGGUCGGGAGUGG